rnacentral:rRNA from 1 species
GUGGGUACCUACCCCGGGGUCCGGGAUAGCCGUCCGAGAGGGCGGGUAAUACCGGAUGACCUCGGGAGAGCAAAGCUCCGGCGCCCUGGGAGGGGCCCACGUGAUAUUAGCUAGUUGGUGAGGUGACGGCUCACCAAGGCGGAGAUGUCUAGCGGGUGUGAGAGCACGACCCGCGCCACUCGCACUGAGACACUGGCGAGACACCUACGGGUGGCUGCAGUCGAGGAUCUUCGGCAAUGCGCGCAAGCGCGACCGAGCGACGCCGCGUGGGCGAUGAAGGCCUUCGGGUUGUAAAGCCCUGUCGAGGGGGAGAAAAGCGGGAAACCGUGUGAUCUAUCCCUGGAGGAAGCUCGGGCUAAGUUCGUGCCAGCAGCCGCGGUAAGACGAACCGAGCGAACGUUGUUCGGAAUCACUGGGCUUAAAGGGUGCGUAGGCGGGCUGCCAAGUUUGAGGUGAAAUCCUCCGGCUCAACCGGGGAAGUGCCUUGAAUACUGGCGGUCUG